GUUUUGAUAGUUUAUAAAAACAUUAUACUGUGGUCAUAAAAAAGAAGAAAUUCUCAAAACA
rnacentral:tRNA from 1 species